CCGCUUCCGGCUGUCCGGCCCUGGAGGCGCUCACCACGCAGCCCGCCUGCUCGGCCGCCUUCAUGGAGGGCCCCCACUGCCGCCCCAUGGUUCCUGGGACUGGACUUCCAAGGUUUCCCCAAGAACAAGCCAAAAAGCAAGUGAACAAUCUGUUACCCACUCUGUGAUGAGGAACGAAUCCAGCUGACCACAGUGGAAACCUGCCACAACCAUAAGGCCAAGUUUCUGACCUUUUUUUUAAUUCUCCAUGGACAAGCUGAUGCCACCUCCUACAAGGCAGUUACAGAGACAAGGGAGCUUAGAGGAGCUUCUCUCACCAACCUGCCACCUCAGCAGGAGUAAGUUCACUCUCCUGAACUCUGGCCUCCAAUGUGUAACUGUUCAUAAUUUUAUGAAGUAUCUAAAUGUCAUUCACUAAUUAAAAAAAAAAAAAAGAAUAGAAAACUCUGGACCAAGGAAAUUGUGAACUCAAAAAGUCAAGAGGGAUACCAAUUACAUUAACAACACUUUCUUUAAAAAAUAGAAUCACUUUCUUUUGAAAUCAACCACAGUGGUGAGACGUGUUUUUCUUCUCAGGUGUCCUGUGAUGGCACACAGCCUUACCCGGCAAAUCCUGCCAGCUUCCAAGUCCGGGGAUACUGACCUGCACCAGCACAUGGAGCAGCGUUACCUCAACAGUAUGGAGAAGAGCACAUGUCACCACUGGGCGUGAGAGUUGACAAAGACUCUUGGCUUCUCAACGCCAGACAUGGUUGGAGAGCUUUCCUUGUUCUAUUAGAAAAGUUCAUGAGGAAGCUGUGAAUAGGAUCAGUCCAGAGGAGUAAAACUCUUUUAUUUUCACUGUCCAAACAUCAGUCAAUAUACUGGGAGAGCCAGCGGAAACCCUCGCCGUAGCCUUGCCUCUUGAGCACACUGCACAUAAACACUUCCAUGGGGCGGGCAUUCAGUUCCUUCAGAGUCACAUUCCCCUAAGGGAGGCAAAGCCAAGAAAGGGUGGUUAGCAUCUCUGAGGUGGAAAAGCUUAAAAGGGUGAUCACUAAAGUCUGUUACUCAGUUCCUUAAAUGCAUAUCUAAGUGGGUAUUAAUUACAGAAAUGUGGUUCAGGCCAUCUAGAUGACUUCCCUAGGGCCUCUUGCUUUCAGGAUAUAAUAAGUAGCACAGUUCUAUUGCCAGCCAGCCAUUCUCUCUCUCUCUCAAGAGCAUUUGCUUUGAACACUUAACAUUCAUCUAGAAAGUCAAGGCAGCAACCAAGAAACAGCGACUGGGAGUCAUGGAACCAGCAUGUAUUCUGAUGGACAAGAGAGGUCCGGGACUGAUAGAAGUCCCACUGAGAAUAAUCAGGUGCUUUGAUUCCAAUGCUUGGAAUGUGAUAUAAAUGACUGCUUCUCUUCAAAACCUGAAAUCUUCAGCCCCCAAAACAACAAUAAAAAAACCCCAAAACCCCA